UCCAAGGUUUCCAGGGGAAGGUUCGUCCGCCCAGGGUUAGUCGGGACCUAAGCCGAGGCCGAAAGGCGUAGGUGAUGGACAACAGGUUGAGAUUCCUGUACCACCAAUAAUCGCUUGAGAGAAGGAAUGACACAGUAGGAUAAGCUAACCACACUGUUGGUUAUGUGUGGCUAAGUACUGAGGCAGUCAAGGUAGGCAAAUCCGCCUUGAUAAUGCUAGGGUACGAUGGGGAGCGAAAUUAAGUAGCGAAGUAGCUGAUUUCACACUGUCGAGAAAAGUUUCUAUCGAGAUUAAAGGUGCCCGUACCGCAAACCGACACAGGUGGGUGAGGAGAGUAUCCUAAGGCCAGCGAGAGAACUGUUGUUAAGGAACUCGGCAAAAUGACCCCGUAACUUAGGGAGAAGGGGUGCCACGUUAGGGUUAACGCCCGAGGUGGCCGCAGAGAAUAGGCCCAAGCGACUGUUUACCAAAAACACAGGUUUCUGCUAAGUCGCAAGACGAUGUAUAGGAGCUGACGCCUGCCCGGUGCUGGAAGGUUAAGGGGAUCUGUUAGGAUUUAUCCGAAGCAGUGAACUUAAGCCCCAGUAAACGGCGGCCGUAACUAUAACGGUCCUAAGGUAGCGAAAUUCCUUGUCGGGUAAGUUCCGACCCGCACGAAUGGCGUAACGAUUUGGGCACUGUCUCAACAACAGACUCGGUGAAAUUGUAAUCCCGGUGAAGAUGCCGGGUACCUGCGACAGGACGGAAAGACCCCAUGGAGCUUUACUGUAGCUUGACAUUGAAUUUUGGUGCUACAUGUACAGGAUAGGUGGGAGGCUAUGAAGUCGGGACGCCAGUCUCGGCGGAGCCAUCCUUGGGAUACCACCCUUGUAGUACUGAGAUUCUAACCAGAUACCUUGAAUCAGGUAUUGGGACACUGUCAGGUGGGCAGUUUGACUGGGGCGGUCGCCUCCCAAAGAGUAACGGAGGCGCUCAAAGGUUCUCUCAGCACGGUCGGAAAUCGUGCGUAGAGUGUAAAGGCAGAAGAGAGCUUGAUUGCAAGACAUACAGGUCGAGCAAGGACGAAAGUCGGACUUAGUGAUCCGGUGGUUCCGCAUGGAAGGGCCAUCGCUCAACGGAUAAAAGCUACCCUGGGGAUAACAGGCUUAUCUCCCCCAAGAGUCCACAUCGACGGGGAGGUUUGGCACCUCGAUGUCGGCUCAUCACAUCCUGGGGCUGUAGUAGGUCCCAAGGGUUGGGCUGUUCGCCCAUUAAAGUGGUACGCGAGCUGGGUUCAGAACGUCGUGAGACAGUUCGGUCCCUAUCCGUCGCGGGCGUAGGAAAUUUGAGGAGACCUGUCCUUAGUACGAGAGGACCGGGAUGGACGUACCUCUGGUGUACCAGUUGUUCUGCCAAGGGCAUGGCUGGGUAGCUAUGUACGGAAUGGAUAAGCGCUGAAAGCAUCUAAGCGCGAAGCCAACUUCAAGAUAAGAUUUCCCACCGUAAGGGUAAGAUCCCAGGAAGACUACCUGGUUGAUAGGUCAAAGGUGUAAGUGCAGCAAUGCAUGUAGCUUAUUGAUACUAAUAGAUCGAGGACUUGACC
rnacentral:rRNA from 1 species